UUGUUGUGGUAGAUUGUGUCGGAUAUAUGCAAAAUUGCAAUAUCGAUUGAACCAUUGCAAAAUUAGUUUGCAAUUUUAAGACAGUUUGGUAGAAUAAUGUUAGAUGGCAGCAAUCUUGAAAAGCGCUGCCACACAGCUGACAUACGCAAUAGACUGCUGAGAUGUGCUUUGUGUUGUUGCCGAACUGAAAUUGUAGGCGGAAAAAAAGAUUAGAUUAGCUCUGUCAGUCAGAGAUAUUUUUAUACGCUAUUAAUCAGUCAUUACUUUUUCAUUAUUUGUGUAGUAGCUACUGUCACGCAACAAACAUGCCUAAUAUAACCAAUUUAUCCCAUUUUCCUUUAAAGGUCAUAUUUGCAAUUCAUUUGAUACUUGUGACAUGGGGUAUUCAAGGAAGUUGGUGUCCUAAAUCUGUACUGGUCUAUAACUUGCUAUUUUUUGUUUGUAUAUUGUGGGCUAUUCAUAAUGUCGAAUCAGAUGAACCACUCCAAUUUGCACUUUUCAUAAAUAUAGUCGCUAUAUUUCUCGAUGUGAUCACUUUAUCAGUGUACUUUCCAGAGUACGGUGGUGCAGCUAAUAAGUUUAGUGCAGCCCUUAUGAUCAUAAAUUUGAUUGCUCGCCCUAUUACAAGUAUAUAUCUGCUGAGAAUAGGUCAAGGAAGAAAUGGCAGCUUAGCCACGGUAUUUGCACCAAGUCCUGCCAUGGGUCAGUAAACCACUGGAUUGCAUCAGUAAAUUACGCAUCCACGCUUUUGUAGUACAUCAGUGCUUCAUCAAGAUCUGAUUUUAAGUUACGGCCGGCAAGACUACGAAGAUAUAUCUCAUCCUGUCCCACAAAACUCUGAUUUUGAUGGGGUUUAAAAUAUUCAAGGGGGGUUGAAAAGAGUUUUGCUUGAAAUUGCACAACUCUAAAUCCAUGCAAAAUAUAUAUAUAUAUAUAUAUAUAUAUGUUUAUAUAAUAUUUUUUAGAUGACAUUUUGUGAGA